ACCGGCCCGUGCUGGCGUCUACGGGCUGACCCGUGCCGGCACGGGGUCAUCCGGUGCCGGACAGCAGAACGCCCCGGUGGGCGAACCCACCGGGGCGUACAGC
rnacentral:snoRNA from 1 species